rnacentral:rRNA from 1 species
UACAGAGGGGGCAAGCGUUAUUCGGAAUUACUGGGCGUAAAGGGCGCGUAGGCGGCCUUCUAAGUCGAACGUGAAAUCCCUGGGCUCAACCCAGGAACUGCGUCCGAUACUGGAAGGCUUGAAUCCGGGAGAGGGAUGCGGAAUUCCAGGUGUAGCGGUGAAAUGCGUUGAUAUCUACAGGAACUCCGGUGGCGAAAGCGGCGUGCUGGACCUUUUCUGUGACGCUGAGGCGCGAAAGCUAGGGGGAGCAAACGGG